UUUCCUUCUCUCGACCUCCCUCUCUCUAAAUUUCUAUUAGUUUUAUUUCACCUAUAAUGAUAAUAAUAAAGCCCUGCCCCGUUCUAAGUAUUGUAACCCCUAAUCACUGAUACCCUGUCCGACUGACGUAGGGCCCCGUAACGUAUGUCAAGGCUCUGCCUAAAUUCGUUGGGGUUCUGUCUCGUGACGUAGGGAUAAAGUGGAAUUGGGUUACUAUACUUAAUGUGAGUGCACUAUAUAUUUUAUUAAAUAAUCCAGGAAUUGUAACAAGAUAUAUCAACCCUCCAAAAAUAUUUCUCACACCCCUAAUAUAUUUAGAAUACCCCUAUAUGUACUAAAAUACACCCCGAAUACGAAAACCGGUCCCGAAUACCUUUAUAUAAAUAAAAAUAAAAUAAAAACCAAAAUUCUGUGGCGCUCGCGGGCCGCGAAGGCAUAGCCGUCGGCUUACGCGGGCCGCGACAGCUCAAGAACAGACCCCCUCCGGUACUGCCAAGUGUCGAUGACUCAGCAACUCAUUUGCCGCCUUAGGGCCCUCGCGGGCCGCGUAAACCUUCUUCUCAUCUGUCGCGGGCCGCGACAAACCCCCUGAACAGCCCUAUAUAUAGAAUUUGUUGGCCACAGUUCACAAAUCGUUCAUAAAUCUUUCCUCUCUCAAAUUUUCUUUAUAGUGUGCAUUAUACUCGGGUCUAAUACCCCCUAAUUAGCGAAGCUCUGCCUCGUUGUAAGUAUCAUAACCCGUGGAUACGUAUUAGAUACUCUGCCCAAUUGAUCUAGGGUUCCGUAACGGUUGUCGUGGUUCUACCUGACGCAGUCGUUGGAAUGUCGUCUCGGGGAGGGUAUUACUAAUUUUAAAAUGGGUUAUUAUACUAACGCGUGUGCAUUGUUUAUUUAAUUAUAUUAUAACCAGGAAAUCACAAAGGAAAGCCCUAUAAUAGCAAUGUGAGUUGAUCCACUUUUCGUAAACUUUUCGUUAACUGUUUUUACAAAACCUUAAAUACUUUUCCAUGCGAAUAACAGUUAUUGAGUAUUUGUAACUUAGUGUGAAGCCAAUAAAAGCCCGCUGGAGAGCACUGAAGGCUUGGAAAAGUGGCAAUAAAGUUACCUAAAAUAAAAUAGAUGUUUUUAUUAAACAAAAUAGGAUUCAUUCCUAUGAAAAUGUAUGUACUACAAACUUGGGUUUUACCCAUGUGUUUAAUGUUAUAAAAUGUGGUGGUUUACU
rnacentral:lncRNA from 1 species